CUGAAAAAGUACUAACAUUCAUAUUUUAUUUGUUAUAAAAAUAAAAAUAAUACGUAUAUAUAUAAUAUAUAAUAUCAUAUAAUAUAAAUAUUUUAAAUUUUCGCGUACCCUCGAUUUUUUCUCGUGAGACAUGUAUUUGAAUCCCUGCAUUAGGAAGUGGAUCAAAUUGGAAGACUCUGGGGUUAUAUAAUAUAUAAUUUAUGGUAACAGAAAUGGUUGUGACUUGUGAGACAACUUGGGACAACUUGGUCCUAGUUCGGAUAAACCCGAAGAAAAAUAAGUUGAUUAAGUACUUAAAAAAAUUUUAAUGUUGAUGUGUAUUGUAUAUUCUUAAAUAAUAAUAAUAUUUAAAUCCAAUAGAGAUUUUAGUAUCCUCUGGAUUUAGAGAUGUUAAAUCAACGGACGCUGAAAUUGCCGAAACACAAUAUAUAG